UCCACACAAGUUGCCACUAUAUAAUAACUUGCCAAUUUGAAUAGAAAAAAUUCAAUACGCUUUUUUAACAAAUGUCAUGGCUUGAAUUUUCUAAUACAAUGGAUCAAUUCAAUCUCAAUCCGCUCUUACUUGAAGCUCUCUAACUCAUGGGAAUGUGUCGAUCUCUCUAGAAUCGUGCCUCCUAUGCAAAAACGUUCUUAUGAACUCCUCUGUGUUGUGCACCUACACAUGCUCCAGUGCAUCUGCACUUAAUAACAAUACUAUUCUCGUGGACUGCACUUCAAUUUCUGUAUUAUGGUAGCUUACUCAAUCUCCAAUCGAACUUCCCAUCAAGAAGUUCCCGCAAAGAUAAUUUCUUCCCAAAAGUGUUAUUUUGGAGCAAGUUCAUGCAGAUCGAGAGGUUGGCCGUAGGAUUUACUUGCUUGGAGACCCAAGGUAGUCAUUUUGGCGUCUGCAUGCCUUAGCGUCCCCUUCUAUACUCCAUACUUCACUAUUUUCCUUAUUUCGUAAACAAUUGUAUCUUUUUUCGGACAAAUACUUGUAGUAAAAUCAUAGAAUGUUCGUGAACUGUGAUUCCGGAUUCUGGGUAGUAAUAUCAUAUAAUCAAAGUUGUUACUUAUGUACUUCCACGUUUAUUUUGAUUUGUUUUGGCUUUUUUGUUGUUAAUCACUGAAGCUUAUUUCCAAUCACUGAAAUGUAAAGGAAUUGGCUAAUAAAAAACUCUAACGUUUGCUUGCC